rnacentral:rRNA from 1 species
UGGGGAAUAUUGCACAAUGGGGGAAACCCUGAUGCAGCGACGCCGCGUGAACGAAGAAGGUAUUCGUAUCGUAAAGUUCUGUCCUAUGGGAAGAUAAUGACAGUACCAUAGAAGAAAGCUCCGGCUAAAUACGUGCCAGCAGCCGCGGUAAUACGUAUGGAGCGAGCGUUGUCCGGAAUUAUUGGGCGUAAAGGGUACGCAGGCGGUUUAAUAAGUCGAAUGUUAAAGAUCGGGGCUCAACCCCGCAAAGCAUUGGAAACUGAUAAACUUGAGUAGUGGAGAGGAAAGUGGAAUUCCUAGUCUAGUGGUGAAAUACGUAGAUAUUAGGAGGAAUACCAGUAGCGAAGGCGACUUUCUGGACACAAACUGACGCUGAGGUACGAAAGAGUGCGGAGCAAACAGG